AUUGAACGCUGGCGGCAUGCUUUACACAUGCAAGUCGAACGGUAACAGGGUGCUUGCACCGCUGACGAGUGGCGAACGGGUGAGUAAUGCGUCGGAACGUGCCGAGUCGUGGGGGAUAAAGCAGUGAAAGUUGUGCUAAUACCGCAUACGUACUGAGGUAGAAAGUGGGGGACCUUCGGGCCUCACGCUAUUCGAGCGGCCGAAGUCUGAUUAGCUAGUAGGUGAGGUAGAGGCUCACCAAGGCGACGAUCAGUAGCGGGUCUGAGAGGAUGAUCAGCCAAACUGGGACUGAGACACGGCCCAGACUCCUACGGGAGGCAGCAGUGGGGAAUUUUGGACAAUGGGCGAAAGCCUGAUCCAGCCAUGCCGCGUGUCUGAAGAAGGCCUUCGGGUUGUAAAGGACUUUUGUCAGGGAGGAAAUCCCUAGUGCUAAUAACACUGGGGGAUGACAGUACCUGAAGAAUAAGCACCGGCUAACUACGUGCCAGCCGCCGCCGUAA
rnacentral:rRNA from 1 species